GGGGACGUAGCUCAGAUGGGAGAGCGCAGCGUUCGCAAUGCUGAGGUCGGGAGGUCGAUCCUCCUCGUCUCCA
rnacentral:tRNA from 1 species